rnacentral:lncRNA from 1 species
GAACGACAACGAUCGAGUACUCGAAGAAGCCUCAGUCAGAGUCAGAGUCUGUGUACGUAUAGAAGCAUGGAGAGCAACCGCAGGGACCUGCAGCCACCGCCAGGUAAUUGCUACUCGUAGAACAUUUGGUUUUAAUACCUAGACUUUUCACUGUCUCCAGAUGCACCAAAAAUAACUUUUUAAUGUAAAAAAUCAACUUUAAAUUUUCUUGUUAACCUGGAUCACCUGCUCCGAUUUCGUCAGGCUACCCGACGGCAGCGGACACGGUGCCAGCAGGGGGCGACGGCUCGCCGCGCCGGGAAGAGACGAGGCAACGCGGCCGGAAAACUGGUUUCCUCGAUGCAUGGUAUGCACGCACAAGCUCUCGUCGUUUCGUUACACAUUUAUGUUUAACUUUGUAUGCUUGAGCUAGUAUAUAAAUUCACGUGCGGCAUCACAACGUUGUAAGAGCCUGCCACUAAUUUCGUGUGAUGGAUGCAUGUAUGCUUUUCAGUGUCGCCGCACUGUGCUGCUGCUGGCUGUGCGACCUGUGCUGCGUCUAGAUUGGACGGCGAAAGCAUACGAGUUUAGUUGCUUAUUAGGAAGCAAGUUUUGAUCAGGGCUUCCUUAUCAAUAGUAUCCAGAAUCACGAGUUAUAUCAUCUCGUUAUGUCGUUGCUUUGUAAUCUGGGUUGUGUAUGCGUCGUCCUAUAUGUGUGCUUGUGACUUUGCCCUUAAUUCUCUCGUUUUUCCUUUUGGAUUGGGGUGUGUAACUAUCCAUAUCGUUGCGACGCAAUGAGUUUGUUUCUUCAUGGAGCUGAUCCUCAGCUGGUAUUUGUAUGGUAAAAGCAACUCACUCCGCAGCUCUUUAUCGAAAAAAAA